CAAUAAGCGGAGGAAAAGAAACCAACAGGGAUUACCUCAGUAACGGCGAGUGAAGCGGUAACAGCUCAAAUUUGAAAGCUAGCUCUAUUAGGGUUCGCAUUGUAAUUUGUAGAAGAUGCUUCGGGUGUGGCCCCGGUCUAAGUUCCUUGGAACAGGACGUCAUAGAGGGUGAGAAUCCCGUAUGUGACUGGGUGCUUUCGCUCAUGUGAAGCUCUUUCGACGAGUCGAGUUGUUUGGGAAUGCAGCUCAAAAUGGGUGGUAAAUUUCAUCUAAAGCUAAAUAUUGGCCAGAGACCGAUAGCGCACAAGUAGAGUGAUCGAAAGAUGAAAAGCACUUUGGAAAGAGAGUUAAACAGUACGUGAAAUUGUUGAAAGGGAAGCGCUUGCAACCAGACUUGCGCGCUGAUGAUCAUCCGGGCUUCUGCCUGGUGCACUCGUCUGCGCUCAGGCCAGCAUCGGUUUCGGUGGUGGGAUAAAGGCCUUGGGAAUGUGGCUCCUCUCGGGGAGUGUUAUAGCCCUCGGUGCAAUGCCGCCUACCGGGACCGAGG
rnacentral:rRNA from 1 species